CAGCAGCCACGGUAAUACGAAGGGUGCAAGCGUUACUCGGAAUUACUGGGCGUAAAGCGUGCGUAGGUGGUGGUUUAAGUCCGUUGUGAAAGCCCUGGGCUCAACCUGGGAAUUGCAGUGGAUACUGGGUCACUAGAGUGUGGUAGAGGAUAGUGGAAUUUCCGGUGUAGCAGUGAAAUGCGUAGAGAUCGGAAGGAACAUCUGUGGCGAAGGCGACUAUCUGGGCCAACACUGACACUGAGGCGCGAAAGCGUGGGGAGCAAACAGGAUUAGAUACCCGGGUAGUCCCUGUCUCUUAUAC
rnacentral:rRNA from 1 species